rnacentral:rRNA from 2 species
CAUGCAGUCGAGCGACAGAUAAGGAGCUUGCUCCUUUGACGUUAGCGGCGGACGGGUGAGUAACACGUGGGUAACCUACCUAUAAGACUGGGAUAACUUCGGGAAACCGGAGCUAAUACCGGAUAACAUUUGGAACCGCAUGGUUCUAAAGUGAAAGAUGGUUUUGCUAUCACUUAUAGAUGGACCCGCGCCGUAUUAGCUAGUUGGUAAGGUAACGGCUUACCAAGGCGACGAUACGUAGCCGACCUGAGAGGGUGAUCGGCCACACUGGAACUGAGACACGGUCCAGACUCCUACGGGAGGCAGCAGUAGGGAAUCUUCCGCAAUGGGCGAAAGCCUGACGGAGCAACGCCGCGUGAGUGAUGAAGGGUUUCGGCUCGUAAAACUCUGUUAUUAGGGAAGAACAAAUGUGUAAGUAACUGUGCACGUCUUGACGGUACCUAAUCAGAAAGCCACGGCUAACUACGUGCCAGCAGCCGCGGUAAUACGUAGGUGGCAAGCGUUAUCCGGAAUUAUUGGGCGUAAAGCGCGCGUAGGCGGUUUCUUAAGUCUGAUGUGAAAGCCCACGGCUCAACCGUGGAGGGUCAUUGGAAACUGGGAAACUUGAGUGCAGAAGAGGAAAGUGGAAUUCCAUGUGUAGCGGUGAAAUGCGCAGAGAUAUGGAGGAACACCAGUGGCGAAGGCGACUUUCUGGUCUGUAACUGACGCUGAUGUGCGAAAGCGUGGGGAUCAAACAGGAUUAGAUACCCUGGUAGUCCACGCCGUAAACGAUGAGUGCUAAGUGUUAGGGGGUUUCCGCCCCUUAGUGCUGCAGCUAACGCAUUAAGCACUCCGCCUGGGGAGUACGACCGCAAGGUUGAAACUCAAAGGAAUUGACGGGGACCCGCACAAGCGGUGGAGCAUGUGGUUUAAUUCGAAGCAACGCGAAGAACCUUACCAAAUCUUGACAUCCUUUGAAAACUCUAGAGAUAGAGCCUUCCCCUUCGGGGGACAAAGUGACAGGUGGUGCAUGGUUGUCGUCAGCUCGUGUCGUGAGAUGUUGGGUUAAGUCCCGCAACGAGCGCAACCCUUAAGCUUAGUUGCCAUCAUUAAGUUGGGCACUCUAGGUUGACUGCCGGUGACAAACCGGAGGAAGGUGGGGAUGACGUCAAAUCAUCAUGCCCCUUAUGAUUUGGGCUACACACGUGCUACAAUGGACAAUACAAAGGGCAGCUAAACCGCGAGGUCAUGCAAAUCCCAUAAAGUUGUUCUCAGUUCGGAUUGUAGUCUGCAACUCGACUACAUGAAGCUGGAAUCGCUAGUAAUCGUAGAUCAGCAUGCUACGGUGAAUACGUUCCCGGGUCUUGUACACACCGCCCGUCACACCACGAGAGUUUGUAACACCCGAAGCCGGUGGAGUAACCAUUAUGGAGCUAGCUCG